GACGAACGCUGGCGGCGUGCUUAACACAUGCAAGUCGAACGGAAAGGCCCUGCUUUUGUGGGGUGCUCGAGUGGCGAACGGGUGAGUAACACGUGAGUAACCUGCCCUUGACUUUGGGAUAACUUCAGGAAACUGGGGCUAAUACCGGAUAGGAGCUCCUGCUGCAUGGUGGGGGUUGGAAAGUUUCGGCGGUUGGGGAUGGACUCGCGGCUUAUCAGCUUGUUGGUGGGGUAGUGGCUUACCAAGGCUUUGACGGGUAGCCGGCCUGAGAGGGUGACCGGCCACAUUGGGACUGAGAGACGGCCCAGACUCCUGCGGGAGGCAGCAGUGGGGAAGAUUGCACAAUGGGCGGAAGCCUGAUGCAGCAACGCCGCGUGCGGGAUGACGGCCUUCGGGUUGUAAGCCGCUUUCGCCUGUGACGAAGCGUGAGUGACGGUAAUGGGUAAAGAAGCACCGGCUAGCUACGUG
rnacentral:rRNA from 1 species